rnacentral:rRNA from 1 species
UACGGAGGGUGCAAGCGUUGCUCGGAAUCACUGGGCGUAAAGCGCACGCAGGCGGCUAUUCAAGUCGGAUGUGAAAGCCCCGGGCUCAAACCCGGGAACUGCAUUCGAAACUGGAUGGCUUGAGUUCGAGAGAGGGUGGUGGAAUUCCUGGUGUAGAGGUGAAAUUCGUUGAAUAUCAGGAGGAACAUCGGCAGCCGAAGGCGGCCACCUGGCUCGAUACCUG